UGAACCAGUGCUGAGAGUGGGCUAUGAACCAAGCAUAAUGAUAAACCUCCUUCCAUAUACCUGAGGUUCAAG
rnacentral:snoRNA from 1 species